AAGCUGAGUGGAUCUGGCUUCUCCUCUGAUCAGACACCAUAGGCAAGCUGUUGGUUUCCAGACCAGGAGGUGAUUAGAACCAGAGGUGGGACCCACGGGUUAACUGAAAAAUAUUCUUACGCUCAUCCCACGUGACCUUUCCUCACCAAAACAUUAGGGAACCAAGCAGUGAGGGAUGGGGCAGCCUCAGAUUGCUGGCAGAUGUCAGGAUGGGGAGGAGAAGCAGCAGCUCGUUGCCGUCUGUGCGGGCAGGGUCACCGCGGAGCAGGGCUGGUGGCGGGGAGGAGAAGCCGCAGCUCGUUGCCGUCUGUGCGGGCAGGGUGACCGCGGAGCAGGGCUGGUGGCACUGUGGCUGUGGGGAGGAGAAGCAGCAGCUCGUUGCCGUCUGUGCGGGCAGGGUCACCGCGGAGCAGGGCUGGUGGCACUGUGGCUGUGCCACCCAGAGGAACAGCAGCCUGCUGCCAGGCACAUCUUCUGUGCAGGCAGCACAUGCCACGCUCCAGCCCCGGCUGGGGAGAGGUUAGGUGUAAAUCCAGGCUCAGCCUCACACACCCGCUGCUCUGCAAGCUGUCUAAAAGUCGUGCUCACCCUGAUAUUUCCCAAGAGCUCCUCGAGGGCCACAUCCGUGGGUAUGAGCACCAGGCUCUCUGUGUAACCCAAGUGAAAAC
rnacentral:lncRNA from 12 species